CAUUCGCUUUUUAAACCACCUCAUAACACACUUUUUCUGCUUUCCCUGAAAGAGGGAAGUGAAAGUGUCUUGAAUUAAGAUGUAAAGCAAUUCCUGAGUCCAAUUUCUAAGGUACUGAGCAGUUCAUUGAGGUCAGGGCUGGGUGCCAGAGGGAGGAGGGGUCAGGGCUGGUGAAUGGCAUGAUCUUUCCCUCUCACAUGCCACGGUCCCAUGUUGAAAUGGGCAUAUGCAUUUAGCUUUGCACUCCAUCCUGCCACAGUAUCUCAUAGUGGUUGUUCAAGGCAGCAGAACACUGUAUGAAGUCAUAAUCCAUAAGGAGCUUCUCCAACCCGUGGUCCAUAAUACUGAGCUGACAAGUUACCCAGAUGAAGUAAGGCUUGACUGAGCAAGGCUUAUCUGAGGUAGUGAGACAAAGAGCGGAGUUGAUUCAGCCUACCAUGCUGUGCAGAGACUUCCACAACAAGAUCCUUUCAUUUUCAGAUCCAGAGUGAUAGAUAAUUGCUACCGAGGAGCUUUUCACCACAGCCAAAACUAACCACAACAAGUAAUAAAAAUCCAA